UUUCGAUACUGGCAAACCCAAUGAAAAUUGGGGACGCAAAACUACAGGUCUAAGGUAUUCAAUACUAUGACGGCUGAGUUGCCGAA
rnacentral:ncRNA from 1 species